rnacentral:lncRNA from 1 species
AGCUUAGCUUGGCUCGCCUGUUUAUAGAUCAAGCUAGACAUGAGCUGGCUCAUGAACAGCUCAUGAAUUUGACAGCCCUACAGGAUGGAUGGGUGUGACAUGCUGUCCAGAAAGAAUGAUGUAAUGCUUUUCAAGAAACUUGAAGUAGCUAAAGUGUUGGUAUAUUGCAGAUUAUUAAGUGUUUAUCAGUAUAUGCAUAUAAUUUAUAACUAGGGAUAUUAAUUAAAUGAAAUUUACUUGAUGCAAUUUAGACUGGACAAAAUUUUGCUAGAAGUGCUAAUCAUUGACAGCUUGACACAAAAAAAUAUAUGUUCACAAAUUAAAAAUAUGAAAUGCCAAAGGGAGAUUUUGAUCCUCAUGACAUUUCGAUUAUAGGUUUUUAUCUGUUAACGAAAUAUGAAACUCAAGCAUUUAAUGCAUUCUCUGAAUAUGCAAAAGGUUGUUACAGUCCUGAUCUAGUUUUAUCUCACUAUCCUCUGAAUAACGCUAAGGCUCCCUAUGUUGUUUUGUGCUUGCCAUGUUCAAUUUCCUAUAAAUUUCCCUGCCCCUAUAUGCAAAUCCUUUUUUAUCUACAACAACAUCAUGAUAUCCUCCCUAGGGCCUGUAUGAUUCACCAAU